CAGGAGAUGAAUGGUUGGUUGUCAACUGGAGUUCUCCUCAAAUCACUUCAGUAGCUAGCUAGCUAGCUUGUGCCUCAUUGUUUCAUUGCCGCUGUUUAUAAGUGUGCAUGGAGCUGGAGAGCCGUGCACAGUGAAGUGUUUGGGGGAACUCCGGGUGGCAACCAACAAUACUGAUAUCACC